GUACACGCUGUGACUAGCAUAUCAAUAAGCGGAGGAAAAGAAACUAACAAGGAUUCCCCUAGUAACGGCGAGUGAAGCGGGAAGAGCUCAAAUUUGAAAUCUUAAAGGGUUUCCCUUUACGAAUUGUAGUUUAAAGAAGUGUUUUCUGUUGAGGUUUUGGUAAAAUUCUUUGGAAUAGGACAUCAUAGAGGGUGAGAAUCCCGUAUUUGACCUUUACUUUCAACUUUGUGAUACACUUUCAAAGAGUCGGAUUGUUUGGGAAUGCAGUCCAAAAUGGGUGGUAAAUUUCAUCUAAAGCUAAAUAUUGGCGAGAGACCGAUAGCGAACAAGUACCGUGAGGGAAAGAUGAAAAGAACUUUGAAAAGAGAGUUAAACAGUACGUGAAAUUGUCAAAAGGGAAGCGUUUGACACCAGUGUUGUUUUUCUGAAAAUCAAUUAAAGAACUGUUUAUGCUAAGCUGUUUAGACUUUAUCAGCUAUCUGUUUAGUUUUGAGCUUUUCUCUAAUGCACUUUUCAGUUAACAAGUCAACAUCAAUUUCUUUUGCUGUAAAAAAGCUUGAGGAAGGUGGCUUGAGAUUCGUCUUAAGUGCUUAUAGCCUCUUGCCUAUGCAGUCGGAGAGAUUGAGGUCUGCAGCGUAGAUCCUUCGGGGCUAAAUGCAUUUGUGCUAAGUUAUAGCAUUUUAUAGACAACUUGUUGACUAUGAUUUGUCUUGUAGCUUACUCGCUUAUGUUAUUUUACCUACGCUUAGGAUGUUGAUAUGCAUGACUGAUAU
rnacentral:rRNA from 1 species